GAUGAACGCUAGCGGCAGGCUUAAUACAUGCAAGUCGAGGGGCAGCAUGAUUGUAGCAAUACAAUUGAUGGCGACCGGCAAACGGGUGCGGAACACGUACACAACCUUCCAACAAGUGGGGGAUAGCCCAGAGAAAUUUGGAUUAAUACCCCGUAACAUAGCGAUGUGGCAUCACAUUGCUAUUAUAGAUUUUUCGCUUGUUGAUGGGUGUGCGGCUGAUUAGAUAGUUGGCGGGGUAACGGCCCACCAAGUCUACGAUCAGUAGCUGAUGUGAGAGCAUGAUCAGCCACACGGGCACUGAGACACGGGCCCGACUCCUACGGGAGGCAGCAGUAAGGAAUAUUGGACAAUGGACGCAAGUCUGAUCCAGCCAUGCCGCGUGAAGGAUUAAGGUCCUCUGGAUUGUAAACUUCUUUUAUAAGGGACGAAAAAAGGCUUUUCUAAGUCGUCUGACGGUACCUUAUGAAUAAGCACCGGCUAACUCCGUGCCAGCCGCCGCAGUAAUAC
rnacentral:rRNA from 1 species